UUGCAUUCAACUCGAUCUUAGAAUCACAGACAAUUUUGUUUGCACAACGAUGAACUAUCAAUGGAGACUACAAAUAAGAAUAUCACGGAUUCCAGACAGCCUAGAGCAUGGUUUUCAAAGGGGACAUAGUGGAAGAUAAAGGCACAAGACGUUGUUCCAGGCUCAUUUAAAACUCUCUCUGCCUCAGCCCUAGAAUCAACCAUUGCUUCAAGGAGCACUGGAUUCAUUCGUUCAGUGAGGGUCAUUGGUGCCUUGCUGCUGCUGUUUUCACUGGUGUUGCUGCCUGGAGUACCAGGAUG